rnacentral:rRNA from 1 species
GAUGAACGCUGGCGGCGUGCCUAAUACAUGCAAGUCGAGCGAACGGACGAGAAGCUUGCUUCUCUGAUGUUAGCGGCGGACGGGUGAGUAACACGUGGAUAACCUACCUAUAAGACUGGGAUAACUUCGGGAAACCGGAGCUAAUCCCGGAUAAUAUUAUGAACCGCAUGGUUCAAAAGUGAAAGACGGUCUUGCUGUCACUUAUAGAUGGAUCCGCGCUGCAUUAGCUAGUUGGUAAGGUAACGGCUUACCAAGGCAACGAUGCAUAGCCGACCUGAGAGGGUGAUCGGCCACACUGGAACUGAGACACGGUCCAGACUCCUACGGGAGGCAGCAGUAGGGAAUCUUCCGCAAUGGGCGAAAGCCUGACGGAGCAACGCCGCGUGAGUGAUGAAGGUCUUCGGAUCGUAAAACUCUGUUAUUAGGGAAGAACAUAUGUGUAAGUAACUGUGCACAUCUUGACGGUACCUAAUCAGAAAGCCACGGCUAACUACGUG